rnacentral:rRNA from 1 species
UACAUGGGGUGCAAACGUUGCUCGGAAUUAUUGGGCGUAAAGCGCACGUAGGCGGUUUGUUAAGUCGGAUGUGAAAUCCCUCGGCUCAACUGAGGAAGUGCAUCCGAAACUGGCAGGCUUGAGUACUAAAGAGGGUCGGCGGAAUUCCCGGUGUAGAGGUGAAAUUCGUAGAUAUCGGGAGGAACACCGGUGGCGAAGGCGGCGACCUGGGUAGAUACUGACGCUGAGGUGCGAAAGCGUGGGGAGCGAACAGG